GGCGAUGUCACAAAAGCUGCGUUUGAGAGCAUGGCUGAUGUCAUUAUGUAAGAAGAGGUGAGUCUCGAGCUGAUGGGAGCUGAAGGAAGAUACACAGCACUGGGGUUGCUGAAAGGCUGUAAAACGGAUGCCGGAACGGGGGUGGUGAUGUGGGCUGCUGGCGAGGGCAUGGGGCUAUCUGCCGCAGGAGGGAUCUUCCUAAACAUGAGAGAAGAGUGAAAGAGAAACAGUGAGAAACAGGCCUGGCGUUGCUCCGGAGCUUGAUUAAGUGUGAGCAUCAGGGCGACAGAGGAAACCCCAGUAGAACCAGACUAUGGAGAAUGAAGCCUUGAAGGAUGGCAAAAUCUGAAUUAUGGCCCUUCCCUGUGGUUUCCCCCAUUGCAACAUCCAGCAACCUAUUUUUAAUCCUUUUCAGGUUUUCAGAUCCUUUUCUUCAUGCUUGGCUACUGGAUAAUGGCGGAUUUGGGUUCAUGAAUAAAAGGCAAAUGUUAUUGAGAAUAUAAAUUUCCCCAACAGUAUUCCCCUUCUUUUGGGGGCCAGUGAUGAAUGUGGCUUCUAAUGAGAAGUGGCUAUUUCACGUUUAGAUCCUGGCUUGAAGAAGAGUGAGGAUAGGACUUGGCCACCUGCACAGGAGAGGACACUGACCUCAGGAGCCAGUAUAAAUUUAUGUUUCAACGGUGCUGACAAGCAGAGCUGGAGUCCUUAAUCUUACCUGGCUGCCACGCAGGACUGGGAUAGGUGCCAAAUGGCAGCGGAUUCCAGCUUUGCACGCUGGUCUAGGGAAGUCCCGCACAAAAGCCCACAGAUGCAAAUAAAUUACUGACAGUGCCCAUCCUCCCCUGCCAGCUGGCAUGGAGAUCCAGAUGCUGACCUGGCUGAAAGAGAAUACUGUGUUGGCGUCUCCUGAUGCAGAGUUAAA